AUACAGAGGGUGCGAGCGUUAAUCGGAAUUACUGGGCGUAAAGCGCGCGUAGGCGGUCUAUUAAGUCAGAUGUGAAAUCCCAGGGCUCAACCUUGGAACUGCAUCUGAUACUGGUAGACUAGAGUUUUGGAGAGGGAAGUAGAAUUUCAGGUGUAGCGGUGAAAUGCAUAGAGAUCUGAAGGAAUACCAGUGGCGAAGGCGACUUCCUGGCCAAAAACUGACGCUGAGGUGCGAAAGCGUGGGUAGCAAACGGGAUUAGAUACCCAAGUAGUCC
rnacentral:rRNA from 1 species